rnacentral:lncRNA from 10 species
CAAAUGUCACAAAUUCUCUAUGCCUUCUACCACGUGCAAGAGUGUGAGGAAAACAAAUAUGAGUGAUACAUGAAGUAUUCAGGACACUUCUGAGAAAAGAAGGGGAGAACCAAGAAAAAUCUCUGCUACUAAAGCAUGAAGACUAUGAACAUGAAGGGAGAUGACCUCAUCUGUAAGAGGGCUGACUUUCAAUAGAUGGCAGCGAGGGAGCUGCUCUGCUACGUACAAAACCAUGAAUGCUCUCUUUUCAUUUCCAUUUUCAUGAGUUAUAAAGAACAAAUUUAUUUCUCACAGUUCUGGAGGCUGGGUAGUUCAAGAUCAAGGUGCCAGCAUCUAAUGAGGACCUUCUUGCUGUGCCAUCUCAUGGUGGAAGUUAGAAGGAAACGAGAGCGUGAGAGAGAGAGAGAAAGUAAAACAAGGUAGAAUAUCUGUUUUCUGGAAAGACUGAGCAAGAUGUAUGCAUUAUUGCUUCAGGAGACUGUACAAUGUUGGAAUUUCAGGUUGCCUGCUAGAAGGGGAUUGAUUAUCUGGAUGGAAACACGACAUAUUUUUCUGGUUACAGAAUAUACCAAGGAAAAUGAGAGCAUCCCAAAUGAGAUAAUGUAGAGUGGUCCAAGACAUUCGACUGGGCUGUCUCCAAAACUUAUAAGAAGUGUAUGGCAAACAUCUUUUAAUUUCCUUUGAAUGAGAAGAUUAAGAGGGAAGAAACUAAACUGUGCUCUAAUGUCAAUAGUUUAAAAUGUUAUCAUGCUAAAAAUGACACAAAGGAACGAUUCAAAAGAAGUCGAUGAUUAUUCUAUAGGUAUUACUAUUAUUAUUUGAAUAGCGGUGUAAAUUGUAACAUAGGAAUUUGCAGAACUUUAAAUCUAAUUAAUGAAAAAUAAACCUUAUAUCUAAUGUAAGCUGAUACCUAAAUUUCAGCCCAAUAUAGGACAUGUUCUCAAUUUCUCACACUUACAGGCCAGUUACACUUUGUUUUAUCUCUCAUUAAAUCUUUUAUAUCAUUUUAAAACCUUAAUAAUUUUUAUGAAAAAUGUCUGGAUGAAACGAAAAUGUUAAAGUUUCAUAUGCCUUAUGCAUUAAGCAGAAAAUUUCCAAUUCAGACUUUUCUCACAGAUGUGUUUAAGUUGGCCUCUGCUCCUAGCAGGUAAAUUACCAAAUAGAGAAGCAAGUAUUAGCUUACAGGAUUUUUAAAAUUUAUUGUUAAAUUUGCAUAUAGAAAAAUUCACUUUUGUGCUGUACUUUUAUAGUAAAGAUUUACCCCUACCCCAACUCCUGGCAACACACUGUUCUUGAUCCCUGUAGUUUUGUUUUUUCCAGAGUGACACGUAAAUGGAAUCUUAUGUAAUCAUAUGUAAACUUUUGAAUGUGGCUUAUUGCCCUUAGCAUACGUAUUUGAGAUCUAUGCAUGUUGUUAUGGGUAUCAGGAGUUCAAUUACUUUUAUUACUGAGUAGUAUUCCAUUGUAUGGUUGUGCCAGUUUUACUAUCUCCCACUUGAGACACAUUUGAGUUGUUUCCAGUUUGCCACUAUUUUGAGUAAAGCUGCU